UACGAGGGGGGCGAGCGUUGUUCGGAAUUAUUGGGCGUAAAGGGUGCGUAGGCGGUUCCGCAAGUCCUGUGUGAAAUCUUCGGGCUCAACUCGAAGUCUGCACGGGAAACUGCGGGGCUUGAGUGUGGGAGAGGUGAGUGGAAUUCCCGGUGUAGCGGUGAAAUUCGUAGAUAUCGAGAGGAACACCGGUGGCGAAGGCGGCCUUCUGGACAGUGACUGACGCUGAGACGCGAAAGCGUGGGGAGCAAACAGG
rnacentral:rRNA from 1 species